CAAAGGAGAGAUUGGGGACCAAGUUAACUUCGGACCAGAAUCUCUCAAGCACCCACGAGUGUGUGUGUAAAUGUUCGCUAGUAAGAAAGCGAUCAAAAGUCAUCAAAGCAGCCGUAAGGCUCAUGGGAUGAUGACUGAGGUCCAGCACCUGGUCUGUGUGACGCAGGGUGAGCCGGCGCGUCUAUCGAGAGCGUGCAGCAAGAAACGGGACACGGCGGUCCGGUACGAACUUCACAACAAUACACAGGGAACAAGCGUGUGCAGUCCGUCCUCGGACGCGGCGGUGCUGCGAUGCACGAGGCUGGAGCCGUCUGUCGCUUCCUAGCGACUGAGGGCGGUGCAGGGCCCUCCGCGUUCGGAUCAACCGGCGGUCGACUCGGUUGAAAGACUGUGGGUUCAGGUCUUUUGUUCUCCAGGGAUCAAUCGACAGUGUUCUGUCUCAACGGCUCUUGUCCUGGUGUGUGCGUAUCUCAGCCCAUGAGAUGCUCACUUGUGUUGCCAGCACUGCUGCGGUGGUAGCAUUUCUCAUCACCAGCUUUCACCGAAAACAUGAGCUACGGCUGCUAGGUGCUGUCAUGGCUUAUGCACAGUUUCAUACAUGUAUGUAGUUUUGUUGAAAGUUGUUGCCUAAUGAAAGACAGUAACCAGCUCAGAUUCCUUGAUCAUGGUUUUCUUUAAACAAUGUUUAUCUCAUUGUUUUACGCCUAAGACUUGGUGGGAAUUUUCAAUAUCUUCCAUGACAGGCUUAUUAUCAGCAGCGCCCUUCCUUUUCCUGUUGUGAAGAAAAUCUGGAUAUUGUCAGAGGGGAAUUUUGCACAGCCUUCCUGCGUCUAGUUUACGCAUCAGUAAGAAACCACACAAGCCGCCCAGGCCCUUGUGUCAAUCACAUCUGUGUCAACUCACUGACUGGCUUUCAUCUGAAUCUUUAAUAGUGCAGCCGACAUCAGGGUUUCACUGAAAUGAUAAGUGCUCUUGUGGCCGUUACACUCUGUGAGAUGAUGAAACAUUUGUGACAGACAUGACAAGAAGCCUUUCACACUAGACCCUUUACCAGACACAAAGCUUAUGUCACUGAAAUAAGCUUGCAAGUUUCUUUCUCUGUCAAUAAGUCUGCAUUUCAAUCAAGAUAAACCGGGGCUGUAGUGCAGAGACAUGAGUCAGAGAUGCAUAUUUCAUUAAAACAGGCCAAUAAUCAGUUGUUCUAUAUACUUCCGAGGCUGGAGACUGUCUUUUUAGCCACUUUUAAAGGCUGAUGCGUCGGCGUGCUUGCUGCAUAUUAGUGGGGCAAAUGAGAUUAAGACAAUUCAGAAAGAGCUUGUUUAUUGUGUUUGAACUCCUACCUGCAUCCCCUGCAACACGUAGCAUUAGAUGCCUAUUAUAUCCAUUUCGAGGAAAGAAAAAGAGGGCUAAGAAUUUUUAUGCUUACUCAGAUAAAAUACAAAAUGACUUUGAUAUUCAUUCCCCCUGUCAUUUCUA